CGCAUCUGUGCAUGCAGCAUAUCAAUAAGCGGAGGAAAAGUCAACUACCUACGCUUAGGAUGUUGAAGAUGUAGCACAUCAUACACGCAUGACACACCGCAUAUCAAUAAGCGGAGGAAAAGAGGGCUACUACCUACGCUUAGGAUGUUGAAGAUGUAGCACAUCAUACACGCAUGACACACCGCAUAUCAAUAAGCGGAGGAAAAGAAACUAACAAGGAUUCCCCUAGUAACGGCGAGUGAAGCGGGAAGAGCUCAAAUUUGAAAUCUUAAAGGGUUUCCCUUUACGAAUUGUAGUUUAAAGAAGUGUUUUCUGUUGAGGUUUUGGUAAAAGUUCUUUGGAAUAGGACAUCAUAGAGGGUGAGAAUCCCGUAUUUGACCUUUACUUUCAACUUUGUGAUACACUUUCAAAGAGUCGGAUUGUUUGGGAAUGCAGUCCAAAAUGGGUGGUAAAUUUCAUCUAAAGCUAAAUAUUGGCGAGAGACCGAUAGCGAACAAGUACCGUGAGGGAAAGAUGAAAAGAACUUUGAAAAGAGAGUUAAACAGUACGUGAAAUUGUCAAAAGGGAAGCGUUUGACACCAGUGUUGUUUUUCUGAAAAUCAAUUAAAGAACUGUUUAUGCUAAGUUGUUUAGACUUUAUCAGCUAACUGUUUAGUUUUGAGCUUUUCUUUAAUGCACUUUUCAGUUAACAAGUCAACAUCAAUUUCUUUUGCUGCAAAAAAGCUUGAGGAAGGUGGCUUGAGAUUCGUCUUAAGUGUUUAUAGCCUCUUGCCUAUGCAGUCGGAGAGAUUGAGGUCUGCAGCGUAGAUCCUUCGGGGCUAAAUGCAUUUGUGCUAAGUUAUAGCAUUUUAUAGACAACUUGUUGACUAUGAUUUGUCUUGUAGCUUACUCGCUUAUGUUAUUUUACCUACGCUUAGGAUGUUGAAGAUGUAGCACAUCAU
rnacentral:rRNA from 1 species